AAAAAAAAAAAAAAAAAGGAGUGUUAGAUCAUAAUCAAAAGUUUACAAACAAAACAAAGGCAUUGUAAUCUAGACGGGUGAUCACCAAUAGACCAGAAAAACGACUCCCUUUUGUUCAAAUGUCACUCUCACUGCUGGACAGCUAGGGUUCCUUGUCAAAUGGGGCCUAAUUGUUGGCCACUACCAAAGUUUAUUAAAAUGCGAGCAUGAUUGACAUUAUUGGUAUCAAGAAGUACAGUGUGAGAGAAAUCUUACUCUAACCAAGUAAAGUUGAAUUUGAUGUUUCACAAUUAUGGCACUGGAGUUUAUUGGUGGAACACUGUUUACGCUGCUCUACGAUGGCGUCAAGCAUGCGAUGAGCAAGAGUGGGACGUUUAAAACCCUUCUCGGAGGCCUCAAAUCCACGCUAGACUCUUUAGAACCAAGAGACAUCCAACAGAUUGGAGAGCAUAACGUCGAAUUGGGUCUCCCAAACGAGGAAAUUGAAAGUCUUCAAAUGCAAAUGGAGGAUGGUGUGAAGCUUGUUGGCAAGUUGUCCAACUUUCGCAUGUGGAACUACUGCUGCUUGGAUGAUUACGCUCAACAAAUUGUUGAGUUGGAUAGGGCUCUUAAAAGAUUGUUAAUAAAAUUGAAGAUGCAGGAAGCAAGGAUGUGAAGGAGGUCUUGGUUUUGUCGAGGCAAAACCGGGACAAACCUGAUGAAGUCAAUAGAAGAUUGUUGGAUAUACGGAAGUUACUGCAGCAGAGAGCGGGGGAUGCCGUGGAAGACUUCAGAAUACCCCCACCCGAGUUGAUAGGCCGGACAUGAAAUCGGUGGAAGAGCAGUUGUGGACAAUAAGGGGAGACUACCUUAGAAGUGUCAAGAGAGGGCAGUAGUAUAAAUAAUGUGAGAGACAUCUUCCCCCUUAUUCGACCUUAAAAAUCUACUCAGAUGGGCCUCCAAGAAGUUGAAUGAAGGGAAGGUGGCGGAAUUGGUUGAUCCUUUGAUGAAGGAAACUAUAGACGCAGAGGUUCUGAUGAAAAUCUUCCAUUUGGCGUUCCACUGUGCAGCCCCCACCCGAGUUGAUCGGCCGGUCAUGACAUCGGUGGGAGAGCGGUUGUGGACAAUAAGGGGGGACAACCUUAGAAAGUGUCAAGAGAGGGCAGUAGUAUAAAUAAUGUGAGAGACAUCUUCCCCCUUAUUGGACCUUACCCUGUAAAAAAAAUUUGGUCACAAGACACGAGUUUGCUUUUCAGUUUGGCCAUUUUUUUUACGCGAAAUCAUUUUGCAACCUUGAAAGCAAACACAUCUGUAUUUAAAUGUUUGGCAUGAUUUUCCAGUGUGCUUAUGUGUAGCUGUAAUUUUUA